GACGAACGCUGGCGGCGUGCCUAAUACAUGCAAGUCGAACGCAGUUGCGAACGGGUGUGUAUCGCGUCGGUAACUGCAUCAUAGCGGGGGAGAACUCAUGGAAACGCUAGUGAAUACCGCACAUUGUGAGAUUGACCUUCGUUUUAUUAGCUAGUUGGUGAGGUAAAGGACCACCAAGGCGACGAUACAUAGCCGCUCUGAGAGGUGGAUCGGCCACACUGGGAAUGAGACAAGGCCCAGACUCCUAAGGGAGGCAGCAGUAGGGAAUCUUCGGCAAUGGACGUAAGUCGGACCGAGCAACGCCGCGUGAGUGAAGAAGGUUCUCGGAUCGUAAAGCUCUGUUGUUUGAGAAGCGGUAACGAACCAGAAAGGGACGGCUAACUACGUGCCAGCAGCCGCGGUAAUAC
rnacentral:rRNA from 1 species